UGGUGCCAGCAGCCGCGGUAAUUCCAGCUCCAAUAGCGUAUAUUAAAGUUGCUGCAGUUAAAAAGCUCGUAGUUGAAUUUCGGGACCAUCAUGUCGGUCGUGCCUCGGUACGUACUGGCAUUGUUGGUUUCUCCCUUCUGACGAACCAUGAUGUCAUUAAUUUGGUGUCUUGGGGAAUCAGGACUGUUACUUUGAAAAAAUUAGAGUGUUUAAAGCAGGCUCACGCUUGAAUACAUUAGCAUGGAAUAAUGAAAUAGGACGUUUGAUUCUAUUUUGUUGGUUUCUAGGAUCGACGUAAUGAUUAAUAGGGAUAGUUGGGGGCAUUAGUAUUCAAUUGUCAGAGGUGAAAUUCUUGGAUUUAUUGAAGACUAACUACUGCGAAAGCAUUUGCCAAGGAUGUUUUCAUUAAUCAAGAACGAAAGUUAGGGGAUCGAAGACGAUCAGAUACCGUCGUAGUCUUAACCAUAAACUAUGCCGACUAGGGAUCGGAUGAUGUUAAUUUUUUAAUGACUCA
rnacentral:rRNA from 1 species